rnacentral:rRNA from 1 species
CAGUAGCCGCGGGAACACGGGGGGGGCAAGCGUUGUUCGGAAUUAUUGGGCGUAAAGGGUGCGUAGGCGGUUUGACAAGUCUUAUGUGAAAUCUCUGGGCUCAACCCAGAGUCUGCAUGGGAAACUGUCGGGCUUGAGUAUGGGAGAGGUGAGUGGAAUUUCCGGUGUAGCGGUGAAAUGCGUAGAUAUCGGAAGGAACACCUGUGGCGAAGGCGACUCUCUGGUCUGUAACUGACGCUGAGGAGCGAAAGCGUGGGGAGCGAACAGGAUUAGAUACCCCUGUAGUCCCUGUCUCUUAUAA